GACGAACGCUGGCGGCGCGCCUAACACAUGCAAGUCGAACGAGCGAGAGAGAGCUUGCUUUCUCGAGCGAGUGGCGAACGGGUGAGUAACGCGUGAGGAACCUGCCUCAAAGAGGGGACGAACAGUUGGAACGACUGCUAAUACCGCAUGACGCUUCUUGGGGGCGAUCCCUGAGAAGUCAAAGACUUUAUGUGCUGAAAGAUGGAUUCGCGUCUGAUUAGCUAGUUGGUGAGGUAACGGCUCACCAAGGCGACGAUCAGUAGCCGGUCUGAGAGGAUGAACGGCCACAUUGGGACUGAGAUACGGCCCAG
rnacentral:rRNA from 1 species